rnacentral:rRNA from 1 species
GUGGGGAAUAUUGCGCAAUGGGCGAAAGCCUGACGCAGCGACGCCGCGUGGAGGAUGAAGGCUUUUGGGUCGUAAACUCCUGUUAGGUGGGAAGAAAAGCCUGUUUCUAAAAUAGACAGGUACUGACGGUACCACCAGAGAAAGCACCGGCUAACUUCGUGCCAGCAGCCGCGGUAAUACGAGGGGUGUAAGCGUUAUUCGGAAUUACUGGGCGUAAAGGGUGCGUAGACGGCGCAUUAAGUCUGUUGUUAAAUUUUUCGGCCUAACCGAAAAGCUGCGAUGGAAACUGGUGUGCUAGAGAAUGAUAGAGAGAAGUGGAAUUCCCGGAGUAGCGGUAAAAUGCGUGGAUCUCGGGAGGAACACCAAUGGCGAAGGCAGCUUCUUGGCUCAUUUCUGACGUUGAGGCACGAAAGCGUGGGGAGCAAACAGG